UACGAAGGGUGCAAGCGUUGUUCGGAAUUACUGGGCGUAAAGGGCGCGUAGGCGGCCUGCUAAGUUAGGAGAUAAAUCCCUGGGCUCAACCUUGGGUGGUUUCCUGAUACUGGUAGGCUUGAGUGACUCAAGGGAUGAUGGAAUUAUGCAAGUAGGGGUGGAAUCCGAUGAUAUGCAUAGGAACACCGGAGGCGAAGGCGGUCAUCUGGGGGUUAACUGACGCUGAGGCGCGAAGGCGUGGGGAGCAAAC
rnacentral:rRNA from 1 species